AAAAUAUUAUUGAAUUUGUUUAAAUGUAAAUUGUUAAUGAAAAUAAUUUUAGUGACAGRUUUUUAGUAUAGUUUAUAGAAUUUAUAAGGUGAAUAAUAGUGUAUAGUACUGUGAAGGAAGGGUGAAAUAGAUGAAAUAGUUAUUUGUAUAAAAGAAGAACAUGGUUUGUACCUUGGGUAUCAGGGUUUAUUAAUUAAUGAUAAUGAUUUAUAAUUCCCGAAUUGAGAAGGGYUAAAAUAGUAUGGUAGUUAAUGUGUUAUUAUUAUUAGCAAUAUUAUUUUAGUAAUGAAAUGUUAGGCGUUUUUUAAGUUAUCUGGUUUUUCAAGAAAUGAAUUUAAUUCAUGUUAUUAGGAGUAAGUGUUUAAUUGAAGAUUAAUAAUUUAUUUUUAGUAUCAAAUAUAUAAAGGGAUAAGCUUUUAUAUAAAUAUUAUAAGUUAUUAUAAUUAUAAAGAGUGGUAAGCUUUARAUUAGCUAGCAAUGGAAUAAUGUUAUAAGUUGUUUUGUGAUUAAAUUAUUUUUAAUGGUUUUAAUUAGUUUAUUGGAAUGUUAUAUUAAAUAGGAAAGUAUAAGUGAUGAUAAUAAAAUGAGUAGAUAUAAUUGUUUUUUUAUAUAUUUAUGGAAAUUUAUAGUAAGGAACUAGGCAAACUAUCACUCGCCUGUUUAUCAAAAACAUCUCCUUUUGGYUAUAUAUUAGGUAGGGCCUGCCCACUGAAAUUUAUUUGAAGGGCCGCGGUAUUAUGACCGUGCAAAGGUAGCAUAAUCAUUAGUCUUUUAAUUGAAGGCUGGAAUGAAUGGUUUGACGAGGUGAUUACUGUCUCGUUAUAAUAAAUAGAAAUUAACUUUUAAGUUAAAAGGCUUAAAUUUUAAUGGAGGACGAGAAGACCCUAUAGAGCUUUAUAUAGAUAUUUAAGUUUGUAUUUAGGAGUUUAUAAAAAUUUAAGUUGAUUAUAUUAUGUUGGGGUGACAUAAAGAUAAAAUUAACUCUUUAUUUUAAGAACAUUGAUUUAUGAAUUAUUGAUCCAUUUUUAGUGAUCAUAAGAUUAAGUUACCUUAGGGAUAACAGCGUGAUUUUUCUUAAGAGUUCAUAUCAACAGAGAAGAUUGCGACCUCGAUGUUGGAUUAAGGAAUAUAAUUAGAUGCAGCAGUUUAAUUAAUAGGUCUGUUCGACCUUUAAAUCCUUACAUGAUCUGAGUUCAGACCGGUGUAARCCAGGUCGGUUUCUAUCCUUAUUGAAUUYUUAUACUUUAGUACGAAAGGACCAAGUAUUUUAAAUAUUUUAUUGUAUUUGAUUAUUARUA
rnacentral:rRNA from 1 species